AAAAUUAAGUUAAACAAGUUU
rnacentral:snRNA from 1 species